rnacentral:rRNA from 1 species
AUUGAACGCUGGCGGCAGGCCUAACACAUGCAAGUCGAGCGAGCGGCGGACGGGUGAGUAAUGUCUGGGAAACUGCCUGAUGGAGGGGGAUAACUACUGGAAACGGUAGCUAAUACCGCAUACCAUCAGAUGAACCCAUAUGGGAUUAGCUUGUAGGUGAGGUAACGGCUCACCUAGGCGACGAUCCCUAGCUGGUCUGAGAGGAUGAUCAGCCACACUGGGACGGAGACACGGCCCAGACUCCUACGUGAGGCAGGAGUGGGGAAUAUUGCACAAUGGGCGCAAGCCUGAGGCAGCCAUGCCGCUUGUAUGAAGAAGGCCGUAGGGUUGUAAAGUACUUUCAGCGGGGAGGCGUUACCCGCAGAAGAAGCACCGGCUAACUCCGUGCCAGCAGCCGCGGUAAUAC